AAAGAUCAUUUGAUUCUCUAAGGCUGUUUCUGCACGGCCAGGAGGCGCCCCCACGCAGGCAGGAGUUCUGUUGGCGUGGGGGCGGGAGUAUGCUCGCACGCAAGCGUGCGAGCAGGCGAAGGGGAGGCCGGCAGGCGGCUCCGCACGGAGCCGCCUCUGCGCCCUCCCCCGCCCCACUCACGGUGUCCUCCU